GACUAUCCAGCUGGAAUGCAACUGCACAGAAGUGGUUGGGCAGACAACACAACAGUCACUUCUCAUUGGGAAGAAGCGUGCACCAAGAAUUGACAUCACUAUCUAUUGUGAUAUCUUUUGUGAUAAAACAACCUGGUGCAAGAAACAACAUUCUUUGUGAAUUCAGUGACAUUCUCUCAAACAAUAACAUUAUUCAUCCAGCAUUGAAGUCACUGAUGUGUCAAGAACAAGAAGACAACUCUACUAAGGAUCAAUUUCUUAAUGAGUUUUGUACAUCCGUACAAUCUUUCACGUACACAACGUAUGUAUACAAGCCUCUAAGAGUACAUAAAUGUCACAAAGGUCGUGACAGAAUUUCGUCGUAGCAAACAAUAGAUGUCUAAAUCAUACUAAUCAAAUACGCAACUCCGAAGGAAAUGGAGCGCACAAACAUCUUUCGCUGAGAUGAUAGCCUACUUGGAGGGCUCUCGACCUGCCUAUCAGGACUUGCGGGCAUGAAGCGCAGCAUCCCUAUGCAAAAAGGAUGCCAGUACGAAUAAUGUACCGAGUAUGUAAGGCAUGUAAAUAAGUACAUAAGAGACAUGGAUGAAAUAUGUAGUACAUGACUCAACUUAUAAGCCGGAAUAACUUUGUAAAUCAUAAAUUACUUUCAGCGUCAUGCAUAUGCGUAUGAAUGUCAUGUCGUGCAUAGGUGUAUGUUUCAUAACAUCAUCAGCCUUUGAGGGCAUCUCAUCUUAUCAUAUCUCCAUUGUGGGCAAAGUUAUAAUCGUAUACCAGCUAAUCAGGUGGUGAUGCGUAUAUAACGUCAUAACCUUUCCCAUAUCCCCCUCCCCACACACACACACACACAGACAUAUAUAUAUAUAUAUAUAUAUAUAUAUAUAUAUAUAUAUUAUCGGCCACUGUGGGCGAAGUCAUAAUCGUAUACGAGCUGAUUAGGUGGUGGUGCGUAUGUAAAACCAUAUAUAUAUAUAUAUAUAUAUAUAUAUAUACACACACACACGCAUAUAUAAUGCCUUUUGAAUACAUACAUAUAUAUGCAUAUAUAACGCCAUUUGAAUACAUAUUCGUAUAUGCGUAUAUAACGCUGUUUGAAUCAUAUUUCAGCUAGUGUAGGCAACAUCAUCAUCAUAUACCAGCUGAUCAGGUGGUGGUGCGUAUACAAUAACGUAAAUUGUUCCCAUAUAUAUNNNNNNNNNNNNNNNNNNNNNNNNNNNNNNNNNNNNNNNNNNNNNNNNNNNNNNNNNNNNNNNNNNNNNNNNNNNNNNNNNNNNNNNNNUAUAUAUAUAUAUAUAUAUAUAUAUAUGCAUGGAAUACAUUUGAAAUACACAAACAAAAUCUCUCGAUACGUCAUAAGACCAUUUUGCCUUCAAUUAAUAUCAUAACAUCAUUCUACAUAUUUUCUGAGACCCAUAAACAGACGAUGGAAUAAUAAUACAUAUGAAAAUUCAAGAACAUAAGCAUUUCUAAUACUUCUAGAAGUAGAGUCAUAUAUGAAAUUUGUGCAUUUACACGUUUUAUUUGUAUCGUAUGAAUCAUGCAAAAUUAAAGAAGGAAUAGCUUUAACAUACCUCAUUCUUGAGUUAUUUAAAUGAAUCUGCUUCUUGCUAAAUUUACACCGGAAAUGAAAAACGAUCCUGGCUUGGUUUUGAAAUGUUUUGACGAAAGAAUUCUUGUUCUUACGUUUUUUGAAGCUACUGUUUCCAAAUUAUUGCUUUCAAACGAAAGAAAUUAAAUGAAUUGAGGCUUAAGGAUUUUUGAACGAAAUGAAUGACAUCUGUUUCUCACAUGUUUGGUUCAAAGACAGAUUGUGCUUCCUUCG
rnacentral:lncRNA from 1 species